UCGACUCCACCAUCCACCCACGCAAGCCUAUUCCACCAAGAGAAGAUCUGCCUCCUCUAGAAUUUUUAUCUAUCGUGCUAAGAGAAAAGAGUGAUCUCUUAUUCUACAGAUCAUAUGCUAUCAAGGACCUUCGUUCCUUCUUAGUUGAUCUUUAAUUUUUAUUUUUUUGUUAGAUCUGAUGUUGGUAAAGAUCUAGUUCUUUAUCGACGGAUGUAUUUGGUUAAAGAUUAAGAGCCCUAAUCAGGAUAGUUUCUUAACUACCAU
rnacentral:lncRNA from 1 species